rnacentral:rRNA from 1 species
UCAAGUUAUUAAGGGUGCAGGGCGGAUGCCUUGGCACUAGGAGCCGAUGAAGGACGUGAUAAGCUGCGAUAAGCUUCGGGGAGUUGCACGUAAACUUUGAUCCGAAGAUUUCCGAAUGAGGAAACUCACUUAGAGUAAUGUCUAAGUAUCAUUAAGUGAAUACAUAGCUUAAUGAGGGGAACUCAGGGAACUGAAACAUCUAAGUACCUGAAGGAAGAGAAAGAAAUUCGAUUCCGUAAGUAGCGGCGAGCGAACGCGGAUUAGCCCAAACCAAUAAAGUUUUCUUUAUUGGGGUUGCGGACAUAUCAUAACGAAGAGGUAUCGUAAUUGAAGAGGUUUGGAAAGACCCACCACAGAAGGUAAUAGUCCUGUAUGUUAAACGAGAAGACUUCAGAUAUGAUCCAGAGUACCACGGGACACGUGAAACCCUGUGGGAAGCAGGAGGGACCACCCUCCAAGGCUAAAUACUACCUAGUGACCGAUAGCGUAUAGUACCGUGAGGGAAAGGUGAAAAGAACCCCGGGAGGGGAGUGAAAUAGAACCUGAAACCCUGCACUUACAAGCUGUGGAAGCACAUUUCUUGUGUGACCGCGUACUUUUUGUAGAACGGGCCAACGAGUUACGUUAAGUAGCAAGGUUAAGCACUUAAGGUGUGGAGCCGUAGCGAAAGCGAGUUUUAACUGAGCGUUCAGUUACUUGACGUAGACCCGAAACCGGGCGACCUACCCAUGAGCAGGAUGAAGCGAAAGUAAAAUUUCGUGGAGGUCCGAACCCACGAGCGUUGAAAAGCUCGGGGAUGACUUGUGGGUAGCGGUGAAAUUCCAAUCGAGCCCGGAGAUAGCUGGUUCUCCCCGAAAUAGCUUUAGGGCUAGCCUCAAGGUGAGAGAUACGGAGGUAGAGCACUGAAUGUCCUAGGGGGUAUUGCACCUACCGAAGACUAUCAAACUCCGAAUGCCGUCAUCUUAUACUUGGGAGUCAGACUGUGGGUGAUAAGAUUCAUAGUCGAAAGGGCAACAGCCCAGAUCGUCAGCUAAGGUCCCUAAAUGUAAGUUAAGUGGUAAAGGAUGUGGGAUUGCACAGACAACCAGGAUGUUGGCUUAGAAGCAGCCACUCAUUCAAAGAGUGCGUAAUAGCUCACUGGUCGAGUGAUCCUGCGCCGAAGAUUUCCGGGGCUAAAACUUACUACCGAAGCUACGGCAUCAGUAAUGAUGGGUAGGGGAGCUUCCCAUACGGGUUGAAGCAUGACCGUAAGGACAUGUGGACAGUAUGGGAGUGAGAAUGUUGGCAUGAGUAGCGAGAUGUGGGUGAGAAUCCCACAGGCCGUAAACCCAAGGUUUCCAGGGGAAGGUUCGUCCGCCCUGGGUUAGUCGGGACCUAAGCUGAGGCCGAAAGGCGUAGGUGAUGGACAACAGGUUGAUAUUCCUGUACUACCGAUAACCGUUUGAGAGAAGGGAUGACACAGUAGGAUAAGCUAAGCACACUGUUGGUUAUGUGUGCCCAAGCAUUGAGGCAGUCAAAGUAGGCAAAUCCGCUUUGAUAAUGCUGGGAUGUGAUGGGGAGCGAAAUUUAGUAGCGAAGUAGCUGAUUUCACACUGUCAAGAAAAGUCUCUAUCGAGGUUAAAGGUACCCGUACCGCAAACCGACACAGGUGGGUGAGGAGAGUAUCAUAAGGCCAGCGAGAGAACUGUUGUUAAGGAACUCGGCAAAAUGACCCCGUAACUUAGGGAUAAGGGGUGCCACCAUCAGGUGGCCGCAGAGAAUAGGCCCAAGCGACUGUUUACCAAAAACAUAGGUUUCUGCUAAGUCGCAAGACGAUGUAUAGGAGCUGACGCCUGCCCGGUGCUGGAAGGUUAAGGGGAUCUGUUAGAGCAAUCGAAGCAGUGAACUUAAGCCCCAGUAAACGGCGGCCGUAACUAUAACGGUCCUAAGGUAGCGAAAUUCCUUGUCGGGUAAGUUCCGACCCGCACGAAAGGCGUAACGAUUUGGGCACUGUCUCAACAACAGACUCGGUGAAAUUGUAAUUCCGGUGAAGAUGCCGGAUACCUGCGACAGGACGGAAAGACCCCAUGGAGCUUUACUGUAGCUUGACAUUGGUUCUUGGUACUACAUGUACAGGAUAGGUGGGAGGCUUUGAAACCAGGACGCCAGUUUUGGCGGAGCCAUCCUUGGGAUACCACCCUUGUAGUACUGGGACUCUAACCAUAGGCCAUGAAUCUGGUCUUGGGACACUGUCAGGUGGGCAGUUUGACUGGGGCGGUCGCCUCCCAAAAGGUAACGGAGGCGCUCAAAGGUUCUCUCAGUACGGUCGGAAAUCGUACGUAGAGUGUAAAGGCAAAAGAGAGCUUGAUUGCAAGACAUACAGGUCGAGCAAGGAUGAAAAUCGGACUUAGUGAUCCGGUGGUUCUGCGUGGAAGGGCCAUCGCUCAACGGAUAAAAGCUACCCUGGGGAUAACAGGCUUAUCUCCCCCAAGAGUCCACAUCGACGGGGAGGUUUGGCACCUCGAUGUCGGCUCAUCACAUCCUGGGGCUGUAGUAGGUCCCAAGGGUUGGGCUGUUCGCCCAUUAAAGUGGUACGCGAGCUGGGUUCAGAACGUCGUGAGACAGUUCGGUCCCUAUCCGUCGCAGGCGUAGGAAAUUUGAGAAGACCUGUCCUUAGUACGAGAGGACCGGGAUGGACGUACCUCUGGUGUACCAGUUGUUCUGCCAAGGGCAUGGCUGGGUAGCUAUGUACGGAAUGGAUAAGCGCUGAAAGCAUCUAAGCGCGAAGCCAACUUCAAGAUAAGAUUUCCCACCGCAAGGGUAAGACCCCAGAAAGACUAUCUGGUUGAUAGGUCGAAGGUGUAAGUGCAGCAAUGUAUUUAGCUUAUCGAUACUAAUAGGUCGAGGACUUGACCAA